rnacentral:tRNA from 1 species
AGAGAAUUAGUCCAAAAUAAGACCUCUGAAUUCGGCUCAGAAAAUCGUGGUUUAAAUCCAUGACUCUCUU